rnacentral:misc_RNA from 1 species
CGCAUUGCACCGUCCACUAAUCCUGGAUGGUACGCCACCUUCAGCAUCAUUUCUUCCUUCACCGCAUGUGUUUGACUCUGAUGUCCAUGUGCGGAGAGUUCGAGGUUCAUGGACUUGUGUCCACGUUCCUUUAGAGAGAUGCGUGCUCCUCUGUGAUCACCUGUCCAUUUCAUGAACUUGAAUGGUCGGUGUGUCUGUCUUGAGUUGAGUGCUGCCAACUGCCUCCGGGCAAAUGGGCUCAGCCCCAAACUAUAGAUUGAUCUGAGGGUGGUGAGACUACCCGCUAGACUUAAGCAUAUUAAUCAGCGGAGGAAAAGAAACUAACAAGGAUUCCCCUAGUAACUGCGAGUGAAGCGGGAUCAGC